UAUACAUCCUUGUAAGUCGCUUUGGAUAAAAGCGUCUGCUAAAUGACUAAAUGUAAAUGUAAAUGUAAAUAGGGUGACCUUCAUGUGAGCCAGACAGCCGACGUGCCCCUGCAUGCCAUGGGCUGUCUCCAGGCUUCCUGUUUCUGUCUCAAACUGCAUGAAAAUGGCUGCAAUUGAAUGGGGGGAGGAUGCCCCGUGACCCACUUACAGCUCUGGGCUAAGCCCCGAAUCUUUUCGAUCCUAACAAUGCACCAGGCUUUCGGUUAGGUUAGAUUAUGUUAGGUUAACGGUAUUUGUUUGUGAAAGUUUAUAGUUCCUUGUAUGUUUAUCAUAUAGGUGUGAUUGUGAAUGUGGCUUUUAAUCCAAAUCGCCUAAUCUAAGACUUUUUCAUCAUAGCUUUUUGAGUACUGGUGGGGCCCCACAUCAUGCAGCAGGUGCCCUUUUAUUUGAUCGACCCUUCAAACAGCCUGAGUCUGCCACUUAGGGGCAUCAUAGAGCGUGAUUAAUCUGCGUUCAUUUGUUUUUACACGUUAUUUUCUAAAAUUAAUUAGUCGAAAUGAACGCGUUAUUUUGACAACAACAGGUUUAAGUUGAGACCCCUCGAAAGGGAAUCAGUCCGGAUGUGGAAUUCCCCUGAAGGAGGUGACCGACUCAAGAUAUGACGCAUUACUGAAUCGAAAGACUUCUGUAAGAUGAAAGGGGGCGGGGGAGACUUAAUAGGAAGCAGAGACAGUUCUAGCCUCGUAGUCUGUUGGGAGACGUAUCUAGAUAAAGAACCCUACGAUAUUGUAGCCUAUUGUGAUGAAUUCAGGCUAACUGCUGUUGUCUACAUUUCUACACUUCUAAGAGAUAGUUGACCAACAUAAACCUGUUUCCGGAAUUAACACAAGAUUGAAAGCAACACGCGUGGAUUGAAGACAACACUGACCAUGAUAACAGAUGUUCUGAAGUUGUCCUUCGGGGCACUCUUGACGGCUUUAGCCGCUCUAAUUGGGAUGGUAGACUGCGUUGGAGGUCGGAUGCAUGUUCAAGGAUCCAACAGUUCAUCGUACAACUAUUGGAGUGUGACGGAUUUACUUCACGUCCAGCCUAAAGGACAGGACUCGAUCACCGGGAACAAUCAAUGCAGACAAAACAGGACUGUGGCCGCUGGCCAUCAAUAAACCACUCAAAUAGUUGAUGUUACCAGGCUGUAAAAUGGCACUUUUAAGAUGUGAUUUUUUUUCAUAAACUACUUUUGAAAUCAUU